rnacentral:rRNA from 1 species
AGAGUUUGAUCCUGGCUCAGAUUGAACGCUGGCGGCAUGCCUUACACAUGCAAGUCGAACGGUAACGCGGGGCAACCUGGCGACGAGUGGCGAACGGGUGAGUAACGCAUCGGAACGUGCCCAGUAGUGGGGGAUAGCCCGGCGAAAGCCGGAUUAAUACCGCAUACGACCUACGGGUGAAAGCGGGGGACCGUAAGGCCUCGCGCUAUUGGAGCGGCCGAUGUCAGAUUAGGUAGUUGGUGGGGUAAAAGCCUACCAAGCCGACGAUCUGUAGCUGGUCUGAGAGGACGACCAGCCACACUGGGACUGAGACACGGCCCAGACUCCUACGGGAGGCAGCAGUGGGGAAUUUUGGACAAUGGGCGCAAGCCUGAUCCAGCCAUGCCGCGUGCGGGAUGAAGGCCUUCGGGUUGUAAACCGCUUUUGUCAGGGAAGAAACGCUCCCGGCCAAUACCCUGGGGUAAUGACGGUACCUGAAGAAUAAGCACCGGCUAACUACGUGCCAGCAGCCGCGGUAAUACGUAGGGUGCAAGCGUUAAUCGGAAUUACUGGGCGUAAAGCGUGCGCAGGCGGUUUUGUAAGACAGAGGUGAAAUCCCCGGG